CUCUGUGACUCCUACGGGAGGCAGCAGUGGGGGAAUAUUGCACAAUGGGGCGCAAGCCUGAUGCAGCCAUGCCGCGUGUAUGAAGAAGGCCUUCGGGUUGUAAAGUACUUUCAGCAGUGAGGAAGGCGGAGUCGUUAAUAGCGGCCUCGUUUGACGUUAGCUGCAGAAGAAGCACCGGCUAACUCCGUGCCAGCAGCCGCGGUAAUACGGAGGGUGCGAGCGUUAAUCGGAAUUACUGGGCGUAAAGCGCAUGCAGGUGGUUUGUUAAGUCAGAUGUGAAAGCCCCGGGGCUCAACCUCGGAAUUGCAUUUGAAACUGGCAGACUAGAGUACUGUAGAGGGGGUAGAAUUUCAGGUGUAGCGGUGAAAUGCGUAGAGAUCUGAAGGAAUACCGGUGGCGAAGGCGGCCCCCUGGACAGAUACUGACACUCAGAUGCGAAAGCGUGGGGAGCAAACAGGAUUAGAUACCCUGGUAG
rnacentral:rRNA from 1 species